rnacentral:rRNA from 2 species
GGACUACCGGGGUAUCUAAUCCUGUUUGCUCCCCACGCUUUCGCACCUCAGCGUCAGUGUUGGGCCAGAAAGCCGCCUUCGCCACUGAUGUUCCUCCAGAUAUCUACGCAUUUCACCGCUACACCUGGAAUUCCGCUUCCCUCUCCCACACUCUAGCAAGGCAGUCUUGAAUGCAAUUCCCAAGUUAAGCCCGGGGAUUUCACAUCCAACUUACCAAGCCGCCUACGUGCGCUUUACGCCCAGUAAUUCCGAUUAACGCUUGCACCCUCUGUAUUACCGCGGCUGCUGGCAC